rnacentral:lncRNA from 10 species
AGGGAGAUAGGGGUGGGGCUGUUUUAUAGGAUUUGGGUAGGUAAAGGAAAAAGUGGGGUUGUUCUCUGGCAGGCAAGAGUGGGGGUCACAAGAUGCUCAGUUGGGGAGCUUUUGAGCCAGGAUGAGCCAGGAGAAGGAAUUUCACAAGAUAAUGUCAUCAGUUAAGGCAAGAACAGGCCAUUUUAAUUUCUUUUGUGGUGGAAUGUCAUCAGUUAAGGCAGGAACCGGCCAUCUGGAUGUGUACGUGCUGGUCACAGGGGAUAUGAUGGCUUAGCUUGGGCUCAGAGGCCUGACACAUUCUGCAUUCCCAUUUAUUUCAGAAUAUUUCUUAGACUCCUGUUAUGAUUAGUAUGUAUUGAGAGUUGGGCUUUAUACCUUAUUCCAUGAAAAUUUAUGCACAUCUCCUUUUCUGAUGUAUCAUUGUUUGCUAGAUGUCCAUAAUAGGGCAUUUGUGAAUAAACAAAAUACUUGGUGCUAUGAAAUUGGGGACAUGAUGACAUGGAUUGAUCCUCUUCAAGUGUAGCUUGGUGAGUGCCAGGCAUCAGUAUUUUCUAAAGCUCCUGAUUUGACUGCAGAAUGCAGUUAAGAACAAAAACAUAGGAGAAUGAAUGGAGUCUAAACCUUCAGUCUAGUUAUGCCUCUGGACAUAAUUCAACAUAAGAAAGAGCUUUCUGGAUACUUAAAAAGUGAUCUUGCUAGGCCGGGCACAGUGGCUCACAACUGUAAUCCCAGCACUUUGGGAGUCCAAGGCGGGCGGAUCACGAGGUCAGGAGUUUGAGACCAGCCUGGCCAACAUAGUGAAACCCUGUCUCUACUAAAAAUACAAAAAUUAGCCGGGCAUGGUGGCACAUGCCUGUAGUCUCAGCCACGCGGGAGGCUGAGGCAGGAGAAUCGCUUGAACCCAGGAGGUGGAGGUUGUGGUGAGCCGAGAUCGCGCCACUGCACUCCAGCCUGGGUGACAGAGCAAGACACCGUCUCAAAAAAAAAAAAAAAAAAAAAGAUCUUGGGAAACAGAACUUUCUAAAUGAUCGAAAAGCACUUGUAUCAUUCAAUAACCAUUUCCUCAUUUCCAGCAUGCAGAUGAUUGGGAGUGUCACGCUCUGUUUUGCUGUGAAGAUGGAGACAAGAGUUAGUCAAAUCGCUUAGUUAAAAUCAACUUGGAAAACAGAUCAUAAUCCAGUUUUUCAAUAUCAAGACUUUGACCCAGUAGCUACUUUUUGAUAAAUUUAAAAUUGAUAUGAACAGAAUUAAUAAACUUAGUUAACAAACUCAGUCUUCUUAGGAAAAAGACAAUGUCUACAGACAAGAGUAAGCAAAAUUGGCUUUGUAGAGCUGAAACUUCUAAUUAUUCCUGGCCUCUUCCUUGCUAAGUCAAAUAUUAAGCUGGUAAUAUCUAUUCAUUUUAUUAUUUGUGCUGUUGUUUAUCAAUAUGCUAUUAUAAAUAUGCCUAAUGCUUGGCAUAUAGCCUCUUUUUGUUUGUUUGUUUUUUCGAGAUGGGGUCUCGCCCUGUCACCCAGGCUGGAGUGCAGUGGCACGAUCUCAGCUCACUGCAACUUCUGCCUCCCGGGUUCAAGCGAUUCUCCUGCCUCAGCCUCCUGAGUAGCUGGGAUUACAGGUGCCCACCACCACACCUGGAUAAUUUUUGUAUUUUUAGUAGAAACGGGGUUUCACCAUGUUGGUCAGGCUGGUCUCAAACUUCUGACUUCGUGAUCUGCCAGCCUCAAAUUCCCAUAGUGCUGCGAUUACAGGUAUGAGCCCCCGCGCCCGACCGGCAUAUAGUCUUAACUAUAUUUUGAAGAUAGAUUUAUUUGUAAAGGAAUCUAGAUUUUCAAAGAUAGAUAGAUAGCUUAAUUGAAAAAUAUCAAGCAAGCUGGGCAUGGUGGCUCAUACCUGUAAUCCUAGCACUUUGGGAGGCUGAAGUGAGAAGACCACUUGAGCCCAGGAGUUCAAUACCAGCCUGGGCAACACAGUGAGUCCUUGUCUCUAAAAAAUAAAAAGGAAAGAAAGCAAAAUACCUAACAGAAUAGAAUCCAUGGACUUGCAUCUUAAAGAAAAAUAAUCAAGAAGAUAAUGUAAGUUAAGCGUCUUCUUUAGUGAUUUUCACAUAGUGCAGUGGUUCUCAAAUAGUGGACCUGGGCCAGCAACAUGAACACCAGUUGGGAAUUUUAGAAAUGCAAAUUUUCUGGCUCUACCUAGCCUUAUUGAACAGAAUCUGAGAUUGGAGACCGGCAAUCUUUGUUUUAAUAAGCCCUCUCUGUGUUUCAGUUACACUCUAAAGUUUGAGAAUUUCUGACACAGUAGAAAUGCUAUGAAAAGGCACUCAUUUUUACUGUUUAGAAAAAAAAUUUGUCGGUAGCAAAAGAUAUUUGCCCAGAAGUUCAUUUUUAUCUCUAGCACAAAUAAUCAGGGUACUUAUCAUUCUAUUAUAUUUUUUCAUUACAUGUCAAAGAUUCAUAAGUAGUUUGCAACAGCUUUCUUCAUACACUUAAGUAAUUAUUAAUUCCUUACAUUUGCUUUCAAAAAUUCUUUCAAACAGCAGAGUUAGAUUUCACAUGUACUUUACUUACCUCAUCGAGAUAAUGUUUCUAUAAUGAUCUUGCUUAUAUGUUGCAUAAUUAGAUCUAGUAUCUCUCUAAUGAGACAUACCAUGUUAUCUGGAACCAGCUGUUAUAUCCUGGAUAGCAAAGGACACUUUACACUAAAUUUUCUGAGACACUCAAGAAUAAUAAAAGUGGUCAUUUCAUAAAAUUAUAUUUUCUUCCUUUCUUUAAGAAAGUUGUUAUUAAAUAGUUGUUUUUGAAUUGAUACUGAUAUUCACAACUCAAAGGACUAAGGCAGUCAGCUAGUUUUGGCAGGAAGCAUAAUGUGUAAUAAUUAUUACACUGGGAGAAUAAGGACUCUCACUCAGUUCUCACAACUGUAAACAGUAAACUGAGAAUAUAGACCAGUUUUUUCUAAUAUUGUUGCAUUUGCAUAUUUACCAUACAUCUGAAAUUUUUACAUUACAGUUUUAAAAAUAAUAUUUUUAUAUGAAGCAUGUAUUUAUUUAUUAAGAAACAGUUGUAAGUAGCCUUAGCAAUGUUGUAGUCCUUUUUUCAGUGACUGCUUACAUGUGUUUAAUAAAUAUGAGAUGGAGGUAGGUAGACAUAUAUACCUAUGGGGCUUGCUUUAUUGAUUAUUCACUCACAAAAAUAUCUAUGUGCAUUUUUAAUACAGACAAAUGAAUACACAAUAGACAUAUGUGGAUAUGCAAAGUGAACUGCAUGAAGCUGUAGCCACUUGUUUACAUUCAGUAGCAUUCUCACUUCCCUACUCAAAUGUAAAUACAUAACUAUUUAUCUAAACUGUAUUUGCUUGUUAAUGAAACCAGAGCACGCAGCAUUUUAUGAAAGUGUGGUGAAUUAAUGGAUAAGAUUACCUCACCUCCCUACAGCCUGAGUCUCUACAGAAGAGGAAAUUAAGGGAGACAAACUGAACUGUGAUGCUUGGGGACUCCCUUGAUUCUGCCUGUCACCGUUUUUAAGCUGGCUCAAGGCCUCAGGGGAGUCUGGCUGUUCUAACCUUCCUCAGCCAGCCAGACGGUAACGGUCCACUGCUUUUAUUCAUUACCCUGAAUGUAAUGCACUAAAUUUAACAAGUAACACACUCAGCGGGAAUUUAUUGGCCUUUUGCAGCAUGAUUGCAAGGUAGGAUAUGGAUAUGGAUUCCAAUUACUGUUGACACCCAGAUAAGAAGAACAAAGCCUGUAUAUAAUUAUUAAUCAAAGUUGAUAUCUUAGGGAAAUGAAAUUAAAUAAAUAAAUAAACAUCUCUAUACUAUGUGAUGCAAACAUUCCCAAGUUUGGAAAACUCUUUCUGGUUACACAAUAGAGGCAUUCCAAUUAAAUAUAGCAAUAAUAAAAUAGCAACACGUAAAGGCAAAUGUUCUUAUAAAGCAGCAACUUUCACACACAAAUAGCUCAUGGAGCAGAUGUAUAGAAACUAACAAAUUCCAAACAGAGACUCAUAUGUAAUGUGUAAAUAAAUAGCCAAAUGAACAGCAGUCUUUAAAUAAAGAUUUAAUAUUUUAAUUAGAAAAAAUAAUCCACAUAAUAUUGUUAUUCCAGAAGGUAGUUAUAUAGAGAUCUACUAAAAUAGAAGUAAUUUUUUAAGAAAUGUAGUAUUACAUUUUCAUAUCCAUAGUACUAGAGUUACCCAAUCAUGAAAAUUAUUGCUGGCCUAUAGGUAGAUAUGAUGAUGACCCUCAAAGUCCUUGGGUUGCAACAGGAAAAUGGGAGGAGCCAGAUGCACUAACUCACUUCACGCAAGGAUUUGCUAUUGAAAUUGUUUGUUUUAUUUAUAAAGGCCAUAGGGAAACACAAAUGUAAAGGUAUAGAAGAGAAUGAACAUGAUAUUAUUUUAUCGCACUGUGGAUGAAAAAUGUUGAAGAAUGCAAGUCAUACAAAAACAAAAUGGAACGUCACCUUCUAUGUGAUUAACCCAAAUGACCAAUUUAAAUUAAUGAAAUAAGAGGCAACAUGCAUCACUGGUAAAGGCUUGAACCCUCACGUUACACAGAAUCAUACCCUGGCUUCAAGAAUUACGAGCUUUCUGACCUUGGGCCACUAAUUUAAUCUCUCUUAGCCUGUUUCCUCAAGUGUAAAAUAGGGACGAUUAUAGUAGCUACCUGCAUUGUUAAACUAAAAUAAAAUAAUCCCAGUAAAUUACUUAAGAUCGUAGUGGGUACAAAGUAAAUACUCAAUAAAUAUUAGCAUUUUAUGUUAUUUUGUAUUAAUUUAACCUAUUCAGUAUUAAAACUUAUUAAACUAGAAAGCAAAUAUCAUCAAAACCUUUUUUUUAAUUCCUGGAUAUGCUUUAGUAUAAAUUUGAGCUGAGAAGUUUUAAUGAAGAAAACGGACAUUUUACCCUCCUAUGGAUCAGUUUGGAUUUAGUCAUGGUUUUAUAGCACAGUCUUGUCACAUAACUGUGUGAAGUUAAAUUUCACUUCUGAUACUCAGCAUAUUUAAUGUAUAACAUUGGCCCAAUGAUACCUGCCUUUGAGGGCAUAUAGGGGAAAUUGGAGGAAACGUACAUCUGUAAGUAUGUCCCUGAGAUUCAGCACGUGGGCUAGUACUAUCCAAAUAUGGAGCUAUUUAUUAUUACGGUUCUAUACAUGGACUCUUGUGUUUUGUCAUCAAUGUGAUUCCUCCAGGUAUGAUUCCCAGUAUGUAGCAAAUGAAGGCUGAAACAUGCUAAUUGGUCUUUUCAAGACUUCAGAGUUAAUAAAAAUGGUAGAGCAAGAGCCUAACUCACCCUAGCUCAGAAUAAGCAUAAGUCAGUGUUCUUUCUACUACAGAAACUGCCCUCAGUAGUAUGAGGAAGUAAAGGUAGAUAACUAACAAAAUGUGUGUGUGUGUGUGCACGUGUGUGUGUGUGUGUGUGUGUGUGUAAAAGCAUAUGCUGUUGAUCAUGAUGGUUGGUACACAGUUUGGGUCUUAGAGAGUGGCUAAAUGAAAAUCAUCGAAGUUGUGCCAUGUUUUUUUCUGAAUUUCCUAAGAAUGUCAUGGAGGUUACCUAAUUGAAGCCAUAAAUAAUUGAAAUAAUGAGAUAAAAUUAUCUGCAGAGAGAUAAAGAAGUACUUCAAUGUCAAUAUCACCUACUGAUGCUUUGGGGGCUAAGACUUCAAAAGGCCCAUAAAGCCAAAGGAAGCAGUUAAGUAACAUGGAUUCUGUCAACCUAUCCUAGUAUAACAAUAAAAUGAUUAUUUAAGCCACACACAUUAAACAAAACUAACAAUCAAAUAGUAUCAUACAGAUAUGUCUAAUUAUUUUUUCAUUUGAUUUUUGUCAUUACACUGGAACAAUUUUUAUUUCAGAAUACAUGGGAUCUUCAUGUAAAAACUGUUCAGAUAACUUAGAGGCCUAGUCUUCCGAAUCAGAGAAACAUGAAUAAUACAUGAUCUUUUAAACAUUAAGAAAGGAUAAAUUAAACAAAAUAGUACUUUAAGUAAAUAGUGAGUAAAUGUUUACAUUGAAGGAAAUUCAUUCAUUCAUUCAUUCAUUCUUAAGUGAUAAGUGCCUUCUCUUAACUAGUUCUGUGCUAGCAAUGAGGAUACAGCACUAAAUCAGAUAGAUGAGGUCACUGGCCUCAUAGGUAUUUAGAUUCCAGUAGUGGAGAAAAAUAUGAAACAAUCAUUGAUAUGGUUUGGCCAUGUCCCCACCCAAAUCUCAUCUUGAAUUGCAGCUCCCACAAUUCCCACGUGUUGUGGGAGGAACCUGGUGGGAGGUGAUUGAAUUAUGGGGGCAGGUCUUUCCUGCAUUGUUCUCAUGAUGGUGAAUGAGUCUCACGAGAUCUGAUGGUUUUAAAAACAGGAGUUUCCCUGGACAAGCUCUCUCUUUGCCUGUUGCCAUCCAUGUAAGACGUGACUUGCUCCUUUUUGCCCUCCACCAUGAUUGUGAGGCCUCCCCAGCCAUGUGGAACUGUAAAUCCAUUAAACCUCUUUCUUCUGUAAAUUGCCCAGUAUUGGGUAUGUCUUUAUCAGCAGCAUGAAAACAGACUAAUACAAUCAUGUAAUUACAAUUUUAACAAGGACAUUGACUGCAAUGGAAGUCUAUAUGAGGAUUUAAACCUACUCUUGGGUAAAGGGUUAGAAGGGUUUCAAUGGGACCCAAUUUUACAUGUACUAACUCACUCAACCCUCAAACCAACCUAAUGACAUCAGUACUGCUACAGUCACCCUGUUCACAGAUAAGAAAACUGAGGAACAAAGGCAUUAAAUACCUUAACAAAUCACAGAGCCAGUAAGGGACAGACCCAGCAUCCAAACCCAGGUUGCUUAGUUUUAGAUUCUUUUUUUAACCACUCACUGUGCUGUAGAAGUCUGUGCAUCUGUCCGGGAAUAAUGAGAACACACUCCAGCUAGAAAUCGAGGCACCUGGGAAAGCCUGAGGUGGUAAGAGCUUGGUACUGGAGAACAGGACUGUCUCAAGUCCUGUUCUUGAGAACAAGAACUGUCUGGGUGCUGUUCUUUUGAAAUGUGAAAAAUUAUUACAAAUGUGAAAAAUUAUGUAUGUAAUUUUAAAUUGUCUAAUAGCCACAGUGAAAAAGAGCAAAAUGCAACAGAUGGGUACAGACACCAUGGAAAACAAUCAGGCAAUCUUAUAAAAUAAACAUGCCGUUACCAUGUGAUUUAGCAAUUGGACUCUUGAGCCUUUAAACUAGACAAAUAUAAUUCAUGAUUAUACAAAAACCUGUACAGAAAUGAUUAUAGCAAAAACAGGAACCAACUUGGUACUUCAAUGGGCAAGUAGUUAAAUAAAAUUUGUGGUACAUCCCUACCAGGGGAUAUUACUCAGCAAAAAAAGAAGAAUGAACUGUUAAAAUGACUUGGAUUAAUCUUCAGAGAAUUAUGCUAAGGAAAAAAAAGGCAAUCCCAAAAGUUUACAUACUGUAUGAUUUCAUUUACACAAAAUUCUUUAAAGGACAAAAAUUUAGAAAUGGAGAAAAGACCAGUAGUUGCUAGGGGUCAGGGCUGGGCAGGGACAGGGCACAGGAAGGAGGGCAGAGUGGCUAUAAAAGGGAACUAUAAGGAAUCUGUGAUGAAGGAACAGUUCUGUAUUUUGAUGUGGUGGUAGAUACAACCUACACAUGUGAUAAAGUUGCACAGAACUAAACACCUACACACACUCACAAACACACAAAGGAGUACAAUUAAAAUUAGGAAAAUAUGAAUAAGGUAGUAUCAUUGUCAAUAUUCUAGUAGCAAUAUUGUGACUAAGAUUUGCAGGAUAUUGCUAUUGGGAAAACUGGAUAAAGGGUACACAGGAUUUCUCUGUGUUAUGUCUUACAACUGCAUGGAAAUCUAGAAUUAUCUCAAAACAAAAAUGUUAAUUACAAGAAAAGAAAUAUGGAAUUCAUUUUUCUUAAUCAAAUAUAUUCAAACUAUUUGUAUUUCAACGUAUGAAACAAUACGAAAAGUAUUGAGAUAUUUUACAUUUUUCUCAUAUUGUCCAUUUGGGCUAGCCCCAUUCCAAGUUCUCAGUAGACACAUGUGGCUAGUGGUGACCAUACAAGACAGCACAGGUAUAGAGGAACACAGAGACAAGAGGUGAGGCAGACGCUAAAGGUAGGGAGGGUGAGCACUUUGGGAGGCCGAGGCAGGCGGAUCACGAGGUCAGGAGAUCGAGACCAUCCUGGCUA